UCGGUUUCAGAUCUAACAUCUUAAUCCCUCCCUCUUUCACGCAUUUUCUCCUCUCUCUUACGCUCAAAUCUCUCUCGCUCUCUCGAUUAUCUCUUCCGUCACUCUCUUUCCUCAUUUUUGAUCUGGUGUGGCAUGUGAAUUUCCCAAAUCAGUCAGGAGUCUGUCUGUAUGGAUUGGUGUGUGAUGGUGUUGAUGAUCAAGAGGAAAAAUACGUGACCCCCGUGAAGAAAAAGAAAAAAAAAUCUUGUAUGCGUGUCCCUGUAUUGUUAUUUUGGCGUGCGUUGGUCAGGAGUGUGUGUUCAAGGUCCUCCUCCCAUUUAUGUUGAAUGAAGAAAAA
rnacentral:lncRNA from 1 species